UAGAGACGGGAGGACAGUGGUGUUGGAUACUGUUACUAGGCAGGCAGGAGAGGCUGCCUCUGACUGAGGACCUGCAGCACCAGCCGGAGCCUGCGGUCCAUGGCCUGGAGGUGACGCUGGAUGAGGAUGGGGGACAGUCGAUCACGGAGUAGAGACUCCUCCAUCAGGGAGCUCAGCUGGUAGUCCUCUUUGGCCAGCAGCUGGAGACGGAGGUGAAUAAUGAAGGUGUCAUUUCCAAACUUCUCAAAAGUUUCGUAAUGAUGUCGAUCCAUGUUACCUGUGCAGGGAGAGGGCGACGUGAUGAGAACUAAGUCAAAAAUGGUCAUAUCCAUGAUGUCCAGCAGUCGAGUGCCUCGGUCAUAUGGAGGAGUCUGCUUAACCUCAUCACAGUAAUCUGGGUCCACCUCCCACCUGAGAAUACACACC